AUUAAUCUUGACAGGUGCUGUCAUGAGCUUUUCAAUGCACUUAAGUCCUGAGGCAAAACCCACUGAAGACUUCCUAACAUCAAUGGGCUUUGGAUCUAAUCCAUAGACAGCUAGUUUCUUUUGGAAAAUAUUGUAUGAAAUAUUUGAAGCCUCAAGGUGUAUUCACAACAUAUUUCAAUCAAAAAUCUAAGCCUCAAUUCAAUGGAAACUGAGAGUACUCAUGACAGGGAUGACUAUGUACUUGUUAUAAUGUACUGCACUUAUCACUCCAGUCAACAACCACUGAAAAUGGGACAGCAGGCAAAGUAGACCCUUGGAAUGACCAAACAAAGCAAUGCUUUUGAAACUUCACAAAUAAAUAAAUAAAUCUACCUCCAAAACAAAUUGGAGAAGAAAUCUUCUUGGACGCUGAAUAUUUAGUGUUGUAGUGCAGUCCCUCAAAUUAAUUGGAGAACAAAAAAAAAAAAAAUUUACUACAUGUAAUUAAAACCUUUCUGAUAUUGCUGAAAUAUUUGAAAUAUUUGUAUAGAAAGUUAAUGUUUGUACCAGAGGUGGUUAAAACUACUUCUGCUGAGAAGUGACAUGUUUAAUUAUAUUUUGGAGACAUUAUGUUAAAGACUGGAUGGUGCUCAAAUGGAAGGAGUGAUAUUUUACUACACAAAGACUGUGGGAGGCAUCUGACCUUUAGAUAUCUAGGGGGAAAAGAAGUUGUAAAACAUGGAGAAUUGAAUAGACUGUUUUCUACUCUUGAGUGAAGAAUUAUCAGCAAAAGACUCUUGUCGCAGAACCAGUGUUAAGACCUCAGAAACCCAGCUGGUAGAAGAGUUUAAAAAAAAAAAAAAAAGUUGCUUAAAGCAGGUACUCUUCUUUAAGAAAGCACUCUAAUCUACAAGUGUCUCUCUAGAUAUAGAGAAAAUUUAGACAUUAUCUCAAAUUAAAGUUCACUUAUGGGGUAAACCUCUGUGAGUGUUCUUUUAUUAUUAUUAUUAUUAUUUUUAACAUAGAA
rnacentral:lncRNA from 7 species